ACAUCGGUUGAUUCGUCCCGAUGCAGAAGCGUAUACAGCAUAGUACAGAACGGAUUUAGCUUCAAAAAUCAGAAGUAAUUCCGAAUGGCGAAGC
rnacentral:ncRNA from 1 species